CCCCGCCCCGCCCCGCGCCUGCCUUGCCCGGUCCGCCCUGUCUUCCAGCAGGGCGGGGCCCGGCUCCGGUUGUUCCGCCACGUUUGAGCGGGCGAGCCCGGCGGCCGGGAGACGCCAGGGAACGGGGCUGGUGGGGGUACAAAGGCUCGGUUCCGUCGCCUUCAGCCCUGCGGUGGGGGCACGGGGCAAGUGAGGGGACGGCAGAGGCGGCGUUCGGUGUGAGGCUGCGCCCUGGGCUCCUGAAAAUCCAGGGCUGCAGUCAUUUGAAGGCUUGACUGGGGCUGGAGGAUUUUCAUCCAAGAUGGCUCACUCACCCAGCUGUUGGCAGGAGACCUCGGUUCUUUGACUUCUCCGUAAGACUGUGGACUGGGGACUAAAGGCAAUAGCUUGACUUCUGAAAAGGGCUGGACUGAAGGUCAGCCACAUGGGCAGUGUGAAGGAUCCCCAGCAAAACUCUGGACAUCAGUGGCUGGGCAAGCUUCUCUGGUUGGCGGUACUCUGCAUAUUGUCACACAUCAACUCUGGGAGAAGAUCAUACUGUUCAUGUCUCCACAAGGGGAGGACAGCUGGAAACUCAGUGUCUGGACCUCUUUCCUUGGCUGAUUUUAUUGUGUAUCCUUUCAUUACAAUAAGCUGUAGCCCUGAAUAUAACAGCUUUCAGUGGGCUCUGAGAGUCAUUUUAGUGAGUUAUCAAAACUAAGGGCAGUUUGGGAAUCCCCCUUACUCGUACUUGGUAUCAGAAGCAAGGAUGGCAACCUGUGGGGACUGGUCCCCCUAACCUACAUAGUUGGCCUCAACUCCUGCCAACUCUGUCUCUCUCUCAAACUAAACCCUAGAGUACCUUGUAAUUACUUACCCUUCUUUGAAGAAAGUUAUAUGCCUGAUUUCGUCCUUUUCUCAUUUCUCAUUUACACUUCAGCUAAUUGUGAUUAGACUUGUUCUCACUGUUCCACUCUAAAUGCUCUGACAGAGAUCAUGAAUAAUUGCCUGUUUGCAGCUCAGUCAUCUAUUUGGUAAUUAAACACAUUUUUAUUUAGUGUCACCACAAGUCAGGUAUAAUGUUGGGCCAUGAGAGUUCAGUGAUUACCAAAAUAAAAGCAUUCCUUGCCCUCACAGCACUUAUAGUCCAGUAGGGGGUUCAGGCAAGCCCUCAGAAAACAGCAUGCUAAGGUCUAUGUUAUGGGAAAUAGGGGAGCUAUGGCAGACUUCCUUGGGGCUGGGGGGGGUGGGUGGUCCCAGCCCCCUCUCCUUAGCA
rnacentral:lncRNA from 1 species